rnacentral:rRNA from 1 species
AUUGAACGCUAGCGGGAUGCUUUACACAUGCAAGUCGAACGAGUGGCGGACGGGUGAGUAAUAUAUCGGAACGUGCCCAGUAGCGGGGGCUAACUACUCGAAAGAGUGGCCAAUACCGCAUACUCUUGUAGCGGCCGAUAUCGGAUUAGCUAGUUGGGGGGGUAAAGGCUCACCAAGGCAACGAUCCGUAGCUGGUUUGAGAGGACGACCAGCCACACGUGGACUGAAACACGGACCAGACUCCUGCGGGAGGCAGCAGUGGGGAAUAUGGGAAAAUGGGGGAAACCCUGAUCCAGCCAUCCCGCGUGUAUGAGAAGGCCUUCGGGUUGUAAAGUACUUUUGGCAGAGAAGCGGUAUCUGCAGAAGAAGCACCGGCGAACUACGGGCCAGCAGCCGCGGUAAUUC